GACGAACGCUGGCGGCGUGCCUAAUACAUGCAAGUCGAACGCGUCUACGUUAAUGAAAUCAAUGUGCUUGCACGGCGAUGGAUUUAACAUUAGACGAGUGGCGAACUGGUGAGUAACACGUGGGUAACCUGCCCUCAAGCAGGGGAUAACACUUGGAAACAGGUGCUAAUACCGCAUAACAAUGGAAACCGCAUGGUUUCUAUUUAAAAGGCGCUUAUGGUGUCACUGAUAGAUGGACCCGCGGUGCAUUAGCUAGUCGGUGGGGUAACGGCCUACCGAGGCGAUGAUGCAUAGCCGACCUGAGAGGGUGAUCGGCCACAUUGGGACUGAGACACGGCCCAAACUCCUACGGGAGGCAGCAGUAGGGAAUCUUCGGCAAUGGACGCAAGUCUGACCGAGCAACGCCGCGUGAGUGAAGAAGGUUUUCGGAUCGUAAAGCUCUGUUGUUAGAGAAGAACAAGUGGAAUAGUAACUGAUUUCACCAUGACGGUAUCUAACCAGAAAGCCACGGCUAACUACGUGCCAGCCGCCGCAGUAAAA
rnacentral:rRNA from 1 species